GCAUGUUGUUGCUUCCUUUGAGUGAGGAUGCAGUGUGUACCACGCACUGCAUCCUCACUCAGAGGAGGCAACAACAU
rnacentral:pre_miRNA from 1 species